CAAUUCAGGCCUGUCUACAGGGAAGGGACCAGGAUCUCAUCGGACAGGGAGGCCGGACGAGGAGGGCAGGCAGUUUUCAUAUUGAGAAAGGCGUCUGUGAGUCGAAGCUGGAACCAGAUGGCCAGAGAGGCAGUGGGAAACUAGUUUCUACAACUGGAAGGACGAGAGAAGCCUUUCCUUUCAAGCAAUCUCUAAAACCAGAAGUAAGUGGCAAUUUCUGGAAGAAAUAAAUCGUGGACAUGUGCUGCAAAAGGCUGCAAAUGCAGGCUGGUUACCAAAAUGCUGUCACAUUACCGCAAGGGGAAGGUGGAUGCUGGAACUUCAAAUGGAAUUAAUUUAGUCCUCAACCUAUGACUGGUGUCAAGCCCCUGGGCUUGCCAUGAGCCGGGAGAUGGGGAGCACACAGCCAGCAGUCAGCCGAUGUCCGUAUGGGGGCCUUGAGCACCGCCUGACUCCCGACAGUCAGCUGGGAGCCGGGUCGGCAUCUGGAGUUCGGCGGGGAACCAGCGGGGCCACUAUACACCGCCCGGCUCCCAACAGCCAGCUGAGAGUCGGCCCAGUGUGCGCACGUCAGCUGGGAGUCAGUGGAAACACCAUGCGCUGCCCGACUCCCGAAGAGCGGCUGGGGGUCAGCCCAACCUCUGCGUGUCGGCCCGGCUCCUGGGAGUCGGCCCGGCUCCCUGCCAACAGCUGGAAGUCGGCAUGGCCACCAGAUGCCACGGGUGCCUCCCUCCGAGGAAACGGACAGCGGAGACGUCCCCACCAUCGGCUGGACCUUUCAGCUAAGCAAGCCGGACGAGGGGGGGAUUAUGCCUCACCUUGGCUGCCUCUCCCUCCCGCCGGGCGCAGGGGGGAGGAGGCAGAGUGCUGCCUGGUUGCCUGAGAGAACAGCUGGAACAGCGGAGGCUACGUGGGUGCGUCUGGAGGGGGGAAUGCAGACAUUGAACUACGCCUUUUAUCCAUACGGACCGGAUGCUGGCUUGCUGAUUGGGGUGGGGUUGGUGGGCGGGGCACGUCUAUGUAAAGCGCUGAAAGCAGUUCACUCCCAGUGCUGACUUUUUCUUUGCAUUAAAGUUUGCUGGUCACCUGUUCCUUCUUUGCCUGGAGUUUGUCAGCAGCUGGCAGAGGACAGCUGACAACCGGUUACUUAGCAACUGGUCAAAGUUGUAACAGACCUUCUCAGGGGUACUUAUGACCAGGUUCUGAAGUUCCAAUGGCCACCAUCCAUGGUCAGAUGACCACUUUGGGGCACUCAGCAAUCAGCUCACAUUUACAAUUGUUUGCAGCAUACCACAAUUACAUGACUGCAUUUUAUGUUUUUGCCAAAACUGGCAUUCACUUCCAGAUUUCAGCAAAACUAGCCCAUAGCAAACAGUUAGUUCACUUAAUGAUCAUUGUGGUUGCUUUAUGACCGCAGCAUGCACUUAACAAAAUCCACAAAAAAGGUCAUAAAAUUGGGGUAACCAGGUGGGUGACCCCAUUUAUCAGUGGUCCCCAAACUUUCUGGCUCCGCUGACCGGCAGCAGUGGUGGGUGAAAGGGAUGGUUUUGCACAUAUGUCUGCCACUUGCGUAGCCCAGUUCCCAACAGGCCACAGACCGGAGGUUGGGGACCCCUGCCCCUUAUAACCAUCACGGGCAGAUUCCAUGAGAGUUGUAAAUCAAAGAUUACCUGUAUUUGGAAUCAGAAUUACUAGAUACAGGUAGUCCUCAGUUUGAAUCAUUUGUUCAGCUGCAGUUAUAAUGGCACUAAAAAAAAGUGAUUUACGACUGGU